CGCUUGAGCAAUGGCGUGACGCAGGAGGAUAGGGUGAGCGGCCUAUUGGAUGGCCGUCUAAGCAGUAAGUGUGGUGUGUAGGCAAAUCCGCACACCAAUAAGCACAAGCUGUGAUGGCGAGGGAAAUUUAAGUACCGAAGUCCCUGAUUUCACACUGCCAAGAAAAGCGUCUAGCGAGGAACAAGGUGCCCGUACCGCAAACCGACACAGGUAGGCGAGGAGAGA
rnacentral:rRNA from 1 species